GGUGAGUGUGCUUACUAUGCUGUUGAAUUCAUGGGAAAACACAACUAAAGUCAACUACAGUCUGAUAGGAGUGUGGGUGAUUAGAGGGAAAGCUGGAGAAAAAGUUCCGUAAGGCCUGCUAGAAUUGAAGGCUCUUGUCUUUCCAUCGGGCCUCAUUAGGACUGGAGAAAUCUUUGGCAGAAAGCAGACAGUCUUCAGCUUUCAUGCCUCCAUCCAAGUAACAAAAGUGUUGAGAAGCUGCAGAAAAAUGUGCUCAUGAUGGACUGCCAAGAAACAGGUACUAUCGGGUGACAGGACUGAUUAAGUUUUCAGAGGUGUCUUUUCCUCCCAGUGGGAGAGUGCAAGACAAGGGGAAGCCAGUAAAUGAAGAAAACAAAUAGAGGGGUGCCAAACAAAUACAACCAAACAGGAAACAAAAACGAGGAGAGAAGUUAACAACAACAAAGUGGUGAUAACAAGAUUUAAUGUGUUUGGAAAGAAACUACAGAGAGCUGACAAUUUGGGAAAUGUUCAGUGAGAAAUGUGCUUAUAGCAUUAUUCAUUAUUAUGCAUGUUUUUCAUAAUGCUUUAUUUGUUUUUAAACUGUAGACUUGGGGACACAGUCACUUAGAGCUUAGCAUGUUUGCCUUUCACAUAUUGGGUUGGGGGUUUGAUUUGUGCCUCAUGUGGAGCUUGCAUGUUUUCCCACAUGCUCUGGGGGUUUCCGUUCUGUAUUUCUUGUUUCCUUUCCCAGUCCAUUUAGCAUUUCUAAAUAAUUAAUAGUGUGUGAGUGUAUGAGCGAUUGUGCCCUGUGAUGGGUUGGCAGCCUGUCCAAGGUGUCUCCCAAUUAUGCCCUGUGUUCCUGGAGAUAGGCUCCAGGCUCCACACAACACUGUAUAAAAUAAGUGCUACAGAACGUGGAUAAAGAGAUGAACUUAUUUUUGGUUCUCACUAAGCAUUUUAAUCCAUGCUUAGUCAUUGUACAUUGUUCAUUACAUUGUAUUCUUUAAUAUCUCUGUAAAAUCAUUAUUAUUAUUUUUUUUACAAUAAGUUUUUUACAAUUAUUUUUAUAUACUGUA